AGAACGAACGCUGGCGGCAUGCCUAACACAUGCAAGUCGAACGGGACCCCCGUCUUCGGAUGGUGGUCUAGUGGCGCACGGGUGCGUAACGCGUGGGAAUCUGCCCUUGGGUACGGAAUAACAGUUAGAAAUGACUGCUAAUACCGUAUAAUGACUUCGGUCCAAAGAUUUAUCGCCCAGGGAUGAGCCCGCGUAGGAUUAGCUUGUUGGUGAGGUAAAAGCUCACCAAGGCGACGAUCCUUAGCUGGUCUGAGAGGAUGAUCAGCCACACUGGGACUGAGACACGGCCCAGACUCCUACGGGAGGCAGCAGUGGGGAAUAUUGGACAAUGGGCGAAAGCCUGAUCCAGCAAUGCCGCGUGAGUGAUGAAGGCCUUAGGGUUGUAAAGCUCUUUUACCGGGAUGAUAAUGACAGUACCGGAGAAUAAGCUCCGGCUAACUCCGCGCCAGCAGCCGC
rnacentral:rRNA from 1 species